UACAGCCAUGUCACGUUGGAACACCACUUCUCGCGCGAUCACCGAAGUUAAGCAACGUCGAGCCUGGUCAGUACCUAGAUGGGUACGUGCUUGGGAAUAACAGCUACUGCAA